rnacentral:miRNA from 1 species
UGGACGGAGAACUGAUAAAGGA